CACGUGUUGUCUCCUUAUAAGUCGAAUGCAUACUGUACAAGUCUGUGCGUGAAAAGGAAAUAAGUUAUCCAAGAUGUCUGUCAGUAAUCACGAGAACCGAAAGUCGAGGUCAAGCUCUGGGUCCAUGAACAUCCAGCUGUUCCACAAGACAUCACAUGCAGACAGCCUGCUUACCCAACUCAACCUCCUCCGCAACAGACGUGUCUUCACGGAUGUAGUCCUGCGUGCUGGACAUCGAGCAUUUCCAUGCCACCGGGCGGUUCUGGCUUCAUGUAGCCGCUAUUUCGAGGCCAUGUUCAGCGGUGGUCUGAAGGAGAGUCGAGAUGCUGAGGUCAACUUCCACGACUCUUUGCAUCCGGAGGUUUUGGAGCUCCUGCUAGACUACGCCUACUCUGCCCGGGUGAUCAUUAACGAGGAAAAUGCAGAGUCUUUGCUGGAGGCUGGCGACAUGCUCCAGUUCCACGACAUCCGUGACGCCGCCGCAGAAUUUCUGGAGAAGAAUCUGCAUCCGUCUAACUGCCUUGGAAUGAUGCUUCUGUCCGAUGCUCAUCAGUGCCAGAGGCUGUAUGAACUUUCUUGGCGAAUGUGUCUGGCUAAUUUUGCUAAUCUAUACCACACUGAAGAUUUCCUCAGCUUGCCCAAAGAUAAAGUUCAAGAGCUUGUUUUUAGUGAGGAGCUGGAGGUUGAGGAUGAAAGUAUUGUCUACGAGGCUGUUAUUGACUGGGUUAGAGCAGACAUCGGAAGGAGACACCUUGAUCUUCCCGAUCUUCUGCGCUGUGUUCGACUCGCCCUGCUCCCGGAAACCUACCUGCUAAAGAACGUUGCAUCUGAGGAGCUUGUCAUGGGACACAAGGUGGGCCGUGAGAUUGUGGAAGACGCUGUCCGCUGCAAAAUGAAGAUCCUGCAGAAUGACGGCGUUGUCACAGGCUUCUGCGCCCAACCCCGGAAGGUCAGCCAAGCUCUUCUGCUUCUAGGAGGCCAAACGUUCAUGUGCGACAAAGUAUACAUGAUUGAUCACAAGGCAAAGGAGAUUACUCCCAAAACGGACCUUCCUAGCCCUCGCAAAGAGUGUAGUGCUUGUGCCAUUGGCUGUAAAGUAUAUGUCACAGGUGGUCGAGGGUCUGAAAAUGGGGCUUCAAAAGACGUUUGGGUCUACGACACCUUGCAUGACGAAUGGUCCAAAGCUGCACCGAUGCUCGUCGCUAGAUUCGGACAUGGUUCAGCAGAACUUGACCACAGCCUGUAUGUAGUAGGUGGACACACAUCCCUUGCGGGGUCAUUCCCUGCGUCCCCGUCUGUCUCUCUCAAACAAGUGGAGCAGUACAACCCCCAAUCAAACAAGUGGACACUAGUUGCCCCUCUUCGAGAGGGUGUGAGCAAUGCUGCUGUUGUAGGGGCCAAAAACAAACUCUUUGCUUUCGGAGGGACUAGUGUCAACAGGGACAAGUAUCCCAAGGUUCAGUGCUUCGACCCCUGUGAGAACAGGUGGACUGUCCCGGCCACUUGUCCUCAGCUCUGGCGUUACACAGCGGCAGCAGUUGUUGGGAACCAUGUUGUGGUCAUUGGUGGAGAUACAGAGUUCUCUGCGAGCUCCGCAUACCGCUUCAAUAGUGAGACGUUCCAGUGGACCAAGUUUGGUGACGUGACUUCCAAGAGAAUCAGCUGUCAUGCAGUGGCAUCAGGGAAUCGCCUCUACGUGGUCGGGGGCUACUUUGGGGCACAGAGGUGUAAAACCUUGGACUGCUAUGACCCGUCAACGGACUCAUGGGAUAGCAUAACAAGCGUACCAUAUUCGCUUAUCCCAACAGCAUUUGUCAGCACCUGGAAGUACCUCCCAUCUUGAAGAAAAUAUGUCUCUUAUUUGAUCUUCUGGCGUUCUCUGGAAUGUGGCUGAGUUCCCCCCCCACGAGGCCUGGGAAUGCCGGGGGAGGGGAGAUGCUUUCCUCCUUCACAUUCACAUGGACCUCGUGCUGGAAAGCAAGCCUUAGGUCAGUCGGGUGGGUAACUAUGGCAACCGGAGCCCGUCCCAGCACACCACAGUCCUGACGGAGAGAUGCAGAAAGCAUUGUGAACGCAUGUGUACAUAAACUUACUAGACAUAACUCUUUAAAACAGGUUAUUUUUAGGUUCCACGCUUCAGCAUCUCGCUCACUCACAUGGAUCCUGCGCAGUCAUAAAUGAAGCAAUAAUUAACUCUUGCCUCUGGUUACUCACUUUAGUGCAUGAAACUGGGCUCAUUGUGUUCUUAGUAGACUUGGGUGACCUUUGAAAGAUGAAAUGAACCCAAAAUUGUAGAAUAACUAGUUAGGCUUUUAUAUAGAAUGUUUUUUUUUCACAAGAAUAUUCAAAACACUUCUCUGAUUAGCACUGUAUUCUUGUUAUAAAAGUACUAGACAAAUAGCCAGGCUGGGCUAAUAGACGAGUUUGGGUGGUAUUUCACCCCCAAAAUUUUAUGAAAUUAAGUCGGUUUUUAAAUGGGUUGCAUUGUGAUAUUAUUUUCAAGCCAAUUAAAGCCGAUUCUCAUUACCGUAAUGCAAAAAUGUCAUUACCUUCUUGAAAAAAGAACAAGAAUGUAAUUUUUAAAAUGGUUAAGUAUUAAGUAUUUAAGCAUCCAUAUUUUAAUUGAAACUACCAAAAAUAAAUACUUAAAAAUCCCAGACAAAUUACGGUAAUGAGGAAAACGCCCUUAAUUGUUACGAAAAUAAUGUCAAAAUGUGAAAAAAAAUAAGGAACAAAUAAGAAAUUAUAUUUUGCAUAAAGAAAAUGAAGCCUAGUUUUAAAUUGUUUGCAUCGUGACAUUAUUUUCAGGGUCAUUAAAGCACAUUUCCUCCCUAAAUUCUCAUUACCGUAAUGUAAAAAAUCAUUACCAUAAUGGCAAAGAACAGGAAUGUAUUUCUUAUUAUGUAAAGUUAUACGCAUAUGCAGAUUUUA